rnacentral:rRNA from 1 species
GAAGAACCUUACCUGGCCUUGACAUCCACGGAAUUCGGCAGAGAUGCCUUAGUGCCUUCGGGAACCGUGAGACAGGUGCUGCAUGGCUGUCGUCAGCUCGUGUUGUGAAAUGUUGGGUUAAGUCCCGCAACGAGCGCAACCCUUAUCCUUUGUUGCCAGCACGUAAUGGUGGGAACUCAAAGGAGACUGCCGGUGAUAAACCGGAGGAAGGUGGGGAUGACGUCAAGUCAUCAUGGCCCUUACGGCCAGGGCUACACACGUGCUACAAUGGCGCAUACAAAGAGAAGCGACCUCGCGAGAGCAAGCGGACCUCACAAAGUGCGUCGUAGUCCGGAUCGGAGUCUGCAACUCGACUCCGUGAAGUCGGAAUCGCUAGUAAUCG